GACGAACGCUGGCGGCGCGCCUAACACAUGCAAGUCGAACGAGCGAGAGAGAGCUUGCUUUCUUGAGCGAGUGGCGAACGGGUGAGUAACGCGUGAGGAACCUGCCUCAAAGAGGGGGACAACAGUUGGAAACGACUGCUAAUACCGCAUAAGCCCACGGUGCCGCAUGGCACGGAGGGAAAAGGAGCAAUCCGCUUUGAGAUGGCCUCGCGUCCGAUUAGCUAGUUGGUGAGGUAACGGCCCACCAAGGCGACGAUCGGUAGCCGGACUGAGAGGUUGAACGGCCACAUUGGGACUGAGACACGGCCCAGACUCCUGCGGGAGGCAGCAGUGGGGAAUAUUGCACAAUGGGGGAAACCCUGAUGCAGCGACGCCGCGUGGAGGAAGAAGGUCUUCGGAUUGUAAACUCCUGUUGUUGGGGAAGAUAAUGACGGUACCCAACAAGGAAGUGACGGCUAACUACGUG
rnacentral:rRNA from 1 species